rnacentral:rRNA from 1 species
GCAUAUCAAUAAGCGGAGGAAAAGAAACCAACAGGGAUUGCCUCAGUAACGGCGAGUGAAGCGGCAACAGCUCAAAUUUGAAAUCUGGCCUCUUUGGGGUCCGAGUUGUAAUUUGUAGAGGAUGUUUCGGGUACCGCCUCGGUUUAAAUUUCUUGGAACAGAAUGUCAAAGAGGGUGAGAAUCCCGUCUUGGACCGGCGGUAGGGCCCAUGUGAAACUCCUUCGACGAGUCGAGUUGUUUGGGAAUGCAGCUCAAAAUGGGUGGUAAAUUUCAUCUAAAGCUAAAUAUUGGCCAGAGACCGAUAGCGCACAAGUAGAGUGAUCGAAAGAUGAAAAGCACUUUGAAAAGAGAGUUAAACAGUAUGUGAAAUUGUUGAAAGGGAAGCGCUUACAACCAGACUUGCGCGCGGCGGUUCCCCCUUCCUUUUGGUUGGGCUACUCCGUCGUGUCCAGGCCAACAUCGGUUCUGGGGGUCGGUUAAAGACCCUGGGAAUGUACCUACCCUUCGGGCGUAGACUUAUAGCCCAGGGUGUCAUGCGACCUCCCGGGACCGAGGAACGCGCUUCGGCUCGGAUGUUGGCGUAAUGGUUGUCAGCGACCCGUCUUGAAACACGGACCAAGGAGUCUAACAUCUAUGCGAGUGUUUGGGUGUCAAACCCGGAACGCGAAAUGAAAGUGAACGGAGGUAGGAAGCCAUGAGGCUGCACUAUCGACCGAUCCUGAUGUCUUCGGAUGGAUUUGAGUAAGAGCAUAGCUGUUGGGACCCGAAAGAUGGUGAACUAUGCCUGAAUAGGGUGAAGCCAGAGGAAACUCUGGUGGAGGCUCGCAGCGGUUCUGACGUGCAAAUCGAUCGUCAAAUUUGGGUAUAGGGGCGAAAGGACUUAAUCGGAACCAUCUGGGUAGAAUGGAUUCCUGCCGAAAGU